UCGAGGUUCGAUCAUAGCUCAGAUUGAACGCUGGCGGGAUGCUUUACAUGCAAGUCGAACGGCAGCACGGACUUCGGUCUGGUGGCGAGUGGCGAACGGGUGAGUAAUGUAUCGGAACGUGCCUGUUAGCGGGGGAUAACUACGCGAAAGCGUAGCUAAUACACAUACGCCCUUCGAAGAAGCGGGGACCUUCGGGCCUCGCACUAUUAGAGCGACCGAUAUCGGAUUAGCUAGUUGGUGGGGGUAACGGCUCACCAAAGGCGACGAUCCGUAGCUGGUUUGAAGGACGACCAGCCACACUGGGACUGAGACACAGCCCAGACUCCUACGGGAGGCAGCGGUGGGGAAUUUUGGACAAUGGAAACCCUGAUCCAGCCAUCCCGCGUGUGCGAUGAAGGCCUUCGGGUUGUAAAGCACUUUUGGCAAGAAAAACGGCACGGGGAUAAUACCCCGUGCAACUGACGGCCUGCAGAAUAAGCACCGGCUAACUACAUUAGCAAUAGCCGCGGUAAUACGUAAGGGUGCAAGCGUUAAUCGGAAUUACCUGGGCGUAAAGCGUGCGCGAACGGUUCGGAAAGAAAGAUGUGAAAUCCCAGAGCUUAACUUUGGAACUGCAUUUUUAACUACCGAGCUAGAGUGUGUCAGAGGGGAGGUGGAAUUCCGCGUGUAGCAGUGAAAUGCGUAGAUAUGCGGAGGAACACCGAUGGCGAAGGCAGCCUCCUGGGAUAACACUGACGCUCAUGCACGAAAGCGUGGGGAGCAAACAGGAUUAGAUACCCUGGUAGUCCGCCUAAACGAUGUCAACUAGCUGUUGGGGCCUUCGGGCCUUGGUGGCGCAGCUAACGCGUGAAGUUGACCGCCUGGGGAGUACGGUCGCAAGAUUAAAACUCAAAGGAAUUGACGGGGACCCGCACAAGCGGUGGAUGAUGUGGAUUAAUUCGAUGCAACGCGAAAACCUUACCUACCCCUUGACAUGUCUGGAAUCCCGAAGAUUGCGGGUAUCAUAGGAGAACCAGACUAUGGGUUUUUGCGGCGUCGUCAGCUCGUGAUGGGAUGUUGGUUCAAGAAUCCGGCGGCUGCAACUACUGUCGUGGAUUACCACGAAAGGCACUCCAAUACGGUCUGCCUGGUGACGAAACGGAAAGGUGUGGACGACGUCAGAGUCCUCAUGGCUUAUAUGGGGUGGGUGUUUCACGUCAGCACAAUAGUGGGACGGAGAGUUGCCAACUGCGGAGCAAUCCCAGAAACCCGAUCGUAGUCCGGAUCGCAGUCUGCAACUCGACUGCGUGAAGUCGGAAUCGCUAGUAAUCGCGGAUCAGCAUGUCGCGGUGAAUACGUUCCCGGGUCUUGUACACACCCGUCACACCAUGGGAGUGGGUUUUACCAGAAGUAGUUAGCCUAACCGUAAGGAGGGCGAUUACCACGGCAGGAUUCAUGACUGGGGUGAAGUCGUAACAAGGUAG
rnacentral:rRNA from 1 species